GUCAGAUAUUGAGGAACUCCUGAUAUGUAGCCACCAGGUGCUGGUGAAAACUCAGGAGCAAAGAGGGGUAGACAUAAGAAUAAAGUAGGAACCAUCAGAGAAAACUGAAGACAGUCUCCAGAGGGUUAUGCUAACUUAAGCUGAGAGAGCAAUUAUACCACUAAAAUGAAGAAGGCACAUUCAAGAAAACAGUGCGAAUAGAAGUGAAAAUCAAUAGAAUAAGAGACCUCAGCUUUUGAAAAUAUUU
rnacentral:lncRNA from 1 species